AAGUCGUAACAAGGUUUCCGUAGGUGAACCUGCGGAAGGAUCAUUACUGAAUUGUCAACACGAGUUGUUGCUGGCCCCUCAAACGGGGGCAUGUGCACGCUCUGUUUGCAUCCACUCACACCUGUGCACCUUCUGUAGUUCUAUGGUUGGGGAGGCAAAUGUCUCCCCUCCUGUGGUUCUACGUCUUUACACACACACUGUAACGUAGUCUUAUGGAAUGCAUGCAGCGUUUAACGCAAUACAAUACAACUUUCAGCAACGGAUCUCUUGGCUCUCGCAUCGAUGAAGAACGCAGCGAAAUGCGAUAAGUAAUGUGAAUUGCAGAAUUCAGUGAAUCAUCGAAUCUUUGAACGCACCUUGCGCCUUUUGGCUAUUCCGAAGGGCAUGCCUGUUUGAGUAUCAUGAACACCUCAACCCUCACGGUUUGCCAUGAUGGGCUUGGACUUUGGAGGUUUUGCGGGCUUAUGGCCAGCUCCUCUCAAAAAAAUUAGCUCACCAGUGUAUGGUGGCAUCAUGGGUGUGAUAAUUAUCUGCGCUUGUGGUUGUCUGCCAGGUAACCUUCAACCUUGGAGGUUUGCUGGGGCUUAUAAAUGUCUCUCCUCAGUGAAGACAUCUUUC
rnacentral:rRNA from 1 species